rnacentral:rRNA from 1 species
ACAAGCGGUGGAGUAUGUGGUUUAAUUCGACGCAACGCGCAGAACCUUACCUAGACUUGACAUCCCGGGGAUUUCUGGAAACAGAGAAGUGCUUUAGCAAUAAGAACCCGGUGACAGGUGCUGCAUGGCUGUCGUCAGCUCGUGUCGUGAGAUGUUGGGUUAAGUCCCGCAACGAGCGCAACCCUUAUCAUUAGUUGCUAACAUUCAGUUGAGAACUCUAAUGAGACUGCCAGUGAUAAACUGGAGGAAGGUGGGAUGACGUCAAAUCAUCAUGCCCCUUAUGACCUGGGCUACACACGUGCUACAAUGGCCGGUACAAAGAGUUGCGAAACUGUGAAGUUAAGCUAAUCUCAUAAAGCCGGUCUCAGUUCGGAUUGUAGUCUGCAACUCGACUACAUGAAGUCGGAAUCGCUAGUAAUCGCGAAUCAGAAUGUCGCGGUGAAUACGUUCUCGAGUCUU